UGGAUGCUGACGAGCGGCGGACGGGUGAGUAAUGCAUAGGAAUCUGCCCGAUAGUGGGGGAUAACCUGGGGAAACCCAGGCUAAUACCGCAUACGUCCUACGGGAGAAAGGGGGCUCCGGCUCCCGCUAUGGGAUGAGCCUAUGUCGGAUUAGCUAGUUGGUGAGGUAACGGCUCACCAAGGCCACGAUCCGUAGCUGGUCUGAGAGGAUGAUCAGCCACAUCGGGACUGAGACACGGCCCGAACUCCUACGGGAGGCAGCAGUGGGGAAUAUUGGACAAUGGGGGAAACCCUGAUCCAGCCAUGCCGCGUGUGUGAAGAAGGCCCUCGGGUUGUAAAGCACUUUCAGCGAGGAAGAACGCCUAGCGGUUAAUACCCGCUAGGAAAGACAUCACUCGCAGAAGAAGCACCGGCUAACUCCGUGCCAGCAGCCGCGGUAAUA
rnacentral:rRNA from 1 species